rnacentral:rRNA from 1 species
GAUGAACGCUGGCGGCGUGCCUAAUACAUGCAAGUCGAGCGAACAGACGAGGAGCUUGCUCCUCUGACGUUAGCGGCGGACGGGUGAGUAACACGUGGAUAACCUACCUAUAAGACUGGGAUAACUUCGGGAAACCGGAGCUAAUACCGGAUAAUAUAUUGAACCGCAUGGUUCAAUAGUGAAAGACGGUUUUCCUUUCCCUUUUAAUUGAACCCGCGCCGCAUUAGCUAGUUGGUAAGGUAACGGCUUACCAAGGCAACGAUGCGUAGCCGACAUGAGAGGGUGAUCGGCCACACUGGAACUGAGACACGGUCCAGACUCCUACGGGAGGCAGCAGUAGGGAAUCUUCCGCAAUGGGCGAAAGCUUGACGGAGCAACGCCGCGUGAGUGAUGAAGGUCUUCGGAUCGUAAAACUCUGUUAUUAGGGAAGAACAAAUGUGUAAGUAACUAUGCACGUCUUGACGGUACCUAAUCAGAAAGCCACGGCUAACUACGUG